GGGGCUAUGGCGCAGCUGGUAGCGCAUCUGCAUGGCAUGCAGGGGGUCACGGGUUCGAAUCCCGUUAGCUCCACUA
rnacentral:tRNA from 1 species